rnacentral:misc_RNA from 1 species
AAGUCGUAACAAGGUCUCCGUAGGUGAACCUGCGGAGGGAUCAUUCACAUGAUUAUACCUCUUAAACAAACUGUGAACUUUUUUAUUAUAAAACUAUUCGUAGUGUAUUGAUUAUUCAAUAUAACUACUGUCAUUCGAUGAACAUUAGAUAGCUGGCUUUUGUAUUUAAUUACAUUUUCUCAGCUGAUUUGUUUGUAUUGACUAAACAUCUUACAACAAUCAACCAAACAUAGUAAAACAACUCUAUGCCCUGGAUAUCUUGGUUCUC